UGAGGAAUAUUGGUCAAUGGGCGAGAGCCUGAACCAGCCAAGUCGCGUGAGGGAAGACGGUCCUACGGAUUGUAAACCUCUUUUGUCGGGGAGCAAUAAAGCGUACGCGUACGCAGAUGCGAGUACCCGAAGAAAAAGCAUCGGCUAACUCCGUUCCAGCAGCCGCGGUAAUACGGAGGAUGCGAGCGUUAUCCGGAUUUAUUGGGUUUAAAGGGUGCGUAGGCGGACGAUCAAGUCAGCGGUCAAAUGUCGGGGCUUAACCCCGGCCUGCCGUUGAAACUGGUUGUCUUGAGUGAGCGAGAGGUAUGCGGAAUGCGUGGUGUAGCGGUGAAAUGCAUAGAUAUCACGCAGAACCCCGAUUGCGAAGGCAGCAUACCGGUGCUCAACUGACGCUGAUGCACGAAAGCGUGGGGAUCAAACAGG
rnacentral:rRNA from 1 species